AGGCAGUGGCGACACUACAUAAUGACUGCGAUGUCAAAGGACCACACAAGGUACAAGUUUGUCGCUUGUGUUUUACUACAUUUAAGUGUUGUUUAUGUAGUGUAUUCUAAAUAUAACAGCUGUGACAUCUCAACUUAUGACCCCUUGCUCCGCCACUGGUUCCAGAUCAAUAUUCUAGGCACUAAAAAUUAGCAGACUACUGGUGCCAUGUUGGAAUUACUAUGAGGUAUAAAAAUUUAAUUGUAGUUCUAUAUUGCAUCAAUUCAUCACCAGUUAAAAGGGAAAUCGGAUUAUUAAUAGCAAUCAUGAAUAGUUUUUCCUAUCUAUCAUAGGCCUCUCUUUUUCCCACCCAAUUUGUACUACCUCUGUACAUAAUAACAAUUCUCUUUUCAUGUGAAAAGAGCCAUACUGCUUCUGUGAGACAAUACUUCUUGUGGCUACUGGCUAGAUUAGGUAAAACAAUUUUUGAAAUACUGUAUGCUUGCCAUACAUUGCCUCGCUUCCUAUAAAAUAGUCAACAAAGUGAAACUUAAUUAUGGAAUGAGCUGAGUUAGUUAAGCAAGGUACAAUAUCUAUUUCAGAUGUGGUACUUGCAAAUCUAACUAGAUUUUGUGUUGGAACAUAUAACACCAUCUUCACCCAUGCUAUUGCCGACCAAUCACAUAAGCUUAUUUAAUAUCAUUAGAUAUGUCUUGUAGUGUUUAAAUAAUGAUGACAGAAAUACGUGCUGUUGUGUGAAAUGAUACCUAAUUAUGGUUGCAGUUCGUAUGUUUUAAAACAAUAUGUGGUAACAAACUAAUGAACUGUAGUUUUCCAGUUUUCCUUCAGUAGAUAGACAUGCAGUGUGAGUUGAUGCUACAUUAGCAAAAUCUGCUAGUGUAGUUCGUUUUUUGCUCUAAAUUUUGCUACUCUUUUAACCUUUUUUCUUUACCGUAAGUUAUUGAUCUCAUUUCUUUAUUGUUAUAGAUUGUUAAGGUAAGUUGAUGAUGCAUAGCUCAGAUGUGGAUUGCAAGGUCAGAUGUUGAUAGCAAGGUUGAGAACGGGGUUGCUACUGGAUAGUCUUAAGUUACGGUUUAGGAUGUCAUAUGUAAUAGGCGUCGAUUGAAACGUCCAUAACUUGGCUACUAGUAUCACAUCUUGUAAUCUUUGGAUCAUGUUCUAGUAUCAUAUCUUGUAUACUUUGGACCUUGUUCUUUGUGAAAGCAACAAAGUAAAUUUAAUAUAUGAG
rnacentral:lncRNA from 1 species